UUUUUUUGUUUUUUAUGUCUGUAUUUCUAGAAUGUGUUAGCUUGUACAAAUGAAUUAGACUCUUUUCAAGAUGCUUAAAAUAUACUUUUAAAGUGUCAAAAAAAUUAUCUGAAAUGUUUUACAACUAGCAAACACACAUUCUAGGUCUCCUUUAUAUUCUUUAUAUUCUGAACAUAUUAUGUAAGAAUGGAUAAUAUUUUGUCUCGGUUUUUCAGAGAUACCAUUUUUCCCCUUUAUUCUUUAAUAGAUUAGUUUCCUCAGAAAGAAAUGUUUUUAAAGUCUUCAUUGAUAUGUUACUCAGAGCAAAUCUUCCAAAUAUAUAAUUUAGACCAAAGUCAAAUCCCUUUUUAUACUUAUUAAAAUAAUUUUUAAAAAGAAAAACAGUGCAUUUUAACCUAAAACAAAUCUUUUAUUAUCAACAUUCAGCAUCACAAACAUUCCUUGGAAACCAUCUAGCUUUGUAUAUUAGAUCAAAAAAAUUUUAGUCAUUUCAUUUCUUUUUACAAAUCAAGCACUUUUUUAAAUGCCCCACACCUCUAUUAAAUGACCACGUGACAAUUUAUACUUCCCUCUUAACAGACUGAGGGAUGUUCAUAUCUGCUUCUAUGAAAUAGGCUAAAAUGCUUUCUGCAUCAUCAUAAUCUGCAAUCAUACAACAAAACCCCUUUUACUUAUAGAUACAUGUCACAGUUACGAACAGAAACAAUUUUCACUAUCUCACCUCCUACCGUACAGCAAACAUGAUUUUUAAAUAUCGAUUCUCUAUGUACAGAUCUCGUAACAUUUUCUGUCUACUCAAUUGUGGUGUAAACUCUCCUCCAGACAGACAGACAGACAGACAGACACUGAGAUUACAGAGCUGGCUCCUGGGGGCCAUCUGCCCCGACAAGCUAUUCCCCAGCAUCCCUGGCAGUCUUAAGCAGACAGAAUGUGAAACCUGCCAACGCAGCUACCUACCACCCUACCCAGAUUAGCAAAAGAAUAAGCAUCUCCCAUCCACUGGUCUGGCCACCAGCUUCAAAGGUCACAUCUGCCCGGACCCCUGUCUAUCACCCAGCGCAUCUGUAGAAUUGUACUACUUUAUCCUCUGUCAUUCAUUCUGCCUCUGAAACCACCAGUAUUUCUCAAUGAGUGUAAAGUAGUCCAUGCCAUCAUGCUGUCUGUACAUUCUUCAUAUAGGAACCUCAUCAAUAUUUUCAGUGAUAAUGACAGAGUAAAUCUUUAGGUGCAUGUGGUGCAGAGGGGGAAAAAAUAAACCAAGAGCUUAAGAAGGGAUAGAAUAAAUGGUACAUUAUGUCUACUACAUUCAGAGAUAAGAAAGAGGAGGAAGUUUACUAAAGCUUGAGAGGGGCCAGUUACCCACUUCUUCCAGAACUCAAUAAGCUGUCAUUUCCAAUAGUUACGUCUUAACACACUGAUCAUCAGACCAUAAUCCUAGGCAAGCCUCAGUCUUUCCAAUGAAUUUUAUUUUCCAUGUUCCCCCAUAGUCCUGUAGCAUCACACUUCAUGCUCAACUGCUUGCCAUUGCCCCCUGAGCCCAGCACUUCCCACUCAAGACCACACACUCUGAUCAGUCCAUGAGCUAAUCCCACCAGGUACUGAGGCUUACUUAGUGGCUGCUUACCACCACAAAGUGUCCCCGCUGCCCUCAGCUGUAAAUGCUAGGGUAGGUCCCCUACACCAGGUGAUCCUUUGUAUACAGAAAAAAAUAUACUAGAAACUCCAGGUUUUUAAAACUUUUUCAUCCUUUCUUUUUAAAGUUCCAAUUUUAUGACUUUUUAUAAUACACAGUAUUAACACACAUGUUGAAAAUAUUUAAUCAAUUUUUUUUAGGAUUUUAUUUAUUCAUUUGACAGAGAAAACACAAGCAGGGGAGCAAGCAGGCAGAGGGAGUUAGAGAAUCAGGCUCCCCGCUGAGCAGGUAGCCCAAUGUGGGGCUUGAUCCCAAGAUCAUGACCUGGGACCCUGGGAUCAUGACCUGAGCUGAAGGCAGGCGUUUAAAUGACUGAGCCUUACUCAAUUUUUAAAACUGAUUUAGUAUGCUUAAAAAAAAAAAAAAAAAAGUCUGUUUCCCACAAAAGACGCAGAGUUGGGAUGCCUGGGUGAGCAUCUGCCUUCAGCCCAGGGCAUGAUCCUGGGGUCCCGGGAUCCAGUCCCACCAUCAGGCUCCCUGCAGGGAGCCUGCUUCUUUCUUGGCCUGUGUCUCUGCUCCUCUCUCUCUCUCUCUCUUAUGAAUAAAUAAAUAAAAUCUUUUAAAAAAAUAAAAGAUGCAGAGUCUCUCACAGCAUCUCUCACUUUCUACUCUUUGUGGUAUAUAGUGAACAAAAGUUUGUAUAUCCAUUUAAUAAAUAUUUCUUGGGUAUCCACCAUGUCUCAUGCCAUGCUAGGCAAUGACGACAGACAUUUCCUGCCUUUAUGGAGCUAAGAAUGGACCUGUUCAUGGAGCUAAGUAUAUUGCAAGAGUCCAUAAAAUCAAAACCAUAAAUGCAAUCAAGUGUGAAGCUGAGGCUACAGGAAGCUAAGGGGCCAGACUGCAAAAAGGGGUGGGGUUGGUGUAGGGAGCAGGAACUGUCUGUAGGUAGGCUGUAUGGAGGUGGGGGUUAGGAAGAACACAGUCACUGAAGCCAGGAACCAGUGGGCAUGUCUCACUCAAGGAACUGACAGCAGCCUCGUAGGGCAGAAACAUACAGUGGAGAAGAACGGUGGCAGCAGACACACAUCCCUGGCCCUACUAGCCAUGUGACUCUGACAACCACUUAGCAUCUGUCAUCUUUAGCCUCUACCACUACCACAUGUGAAUAACAAGAUCUACUGCAGCAGGACUGUCAGGAGGAUUGGAGGAGGUAACUCAUGCAGUGCUCAUCACAGGAACUGGUAGUUGCUGCUGCCACUGCUGUUAUAUAUAAGUCCUUAUGUUCUCAACUAGACUUGAACACCCCUAACACCAGAAUCUUUACCUGAACGAACUUUUACAUGUAGAUUCUCAACAAGUAUUUGCUUCCUCCCAAUUCCUUCAAUGACCUAUGUCAGCAUAAGAAAAUACAGUGGCCCCCCCUCAGCUGCAGUGUCAGUUACCCACAGUCAUCCAUGGUCCAGAAUCCAAAGAUGCUCCUCUGACACACUGCCAGGUUAACAGUAGCCAGGGCUCUAUCACAGCAUCUGCGUCACUCACCUCACGUUGCAGCCCCGUGCAGGCAUUACACCAUCUCACAGCAAGGAGGCUGGGCACAGCACAGGGAGGUAUUUUGAAAGAGACUACAUUCACGUAACUUGUAUUACAAGAUAUUGUUUUAAUUGUUCUACUCUAGUAUUAAUCUUUUACUGUGCCUAAUUUA
rnacentral:lncRNA from 1 species